UCAAGGAAAAAUAAUAGCAGCUACUUUGUCAAUGGUAAAAUUAUGGAAGCAAUGAUAACAAUGAAAUGAUAGCAAAUAAGAAGUCAAUUCCAUAAUGAUAAGGAUAGUUAGAAUGAAGGUGGCAAUGGCAUAGGAUUCCAAGACAUGUUGUAACAAACAUUCUCACAUAAAAAUUCAAGUUCGGUCAUCAUUAUAUAUAACAAUAAAUGUAGCAGGUAACUGCAACCCCAUUAACAGGGAAAACCUUGUAUUCAUAAACUCAGAUUCAAUAACUAGAAGGAGAAGCAUGUCAAAGAUGAGAAGACAAAUCGUUGUCCUUAUUCUCUUUACACUCAUGAUGAUUUCAGAUUCUGCACUGAAUCAUGUUACUGCUAAUGCUCAGGAUAUUCAGCCAGUUCAGUUCAAGCUAAAAACCCUACAGACUAUCCCACGUAGUGAACAUAUAACUUCAUGGGGUGAAGAAAAGAGGACUCACAGAAAGCACCCAUCAGGGCCUAACCCAGUAGGGAAUCACCUCCCACCGACUAAACCAUAGAGAUGUAAAUUGGAGCCACUCCUUUGGAAUCAGUUUUCAGUAGAGACAUCAAUGCUCGCUCUUACUUCCGAGUUUCGACUAAGAGGGGAUCAAAACAUUUAUGUACACUGGAAAUUUCUUUUAGAAACAUUGUGCCUGUAAAAUAUCCACUAGUGUAUGUUGGGAAAUAGGCAGUGCCAUUAGCACCAUUGUACCAGGCACUACUAGUAGGGAUUGGACUUAAGCUAUUCUACCUGAUUUUACAGCUCUGAUCUUUCUAUCUGCAGGACUCCUUUCGUCCACUAGUUCUAAACUAUACAAUCAGUUUCAUGUUAAAUUUAUAAUAAAAUACGGUCAUCCUUCAAAUAA